rnacentral:sRNA from 4 species
AGCAGGUUCGGGUCGAACGCAGUGAGACAACGGAGCCGUUUACGGCGACGGCCCGAAGGGCGAGCGAAGCGAGUCAUCCUGCACGACCCACCA